rnacentral:lncRNA from 1 species
CUUAGCCUGCGGCUUUGCUUGGGAUUGGACCGACGUCUAGUUACUGGGAUGUGAGGUCUGGAACAGCUGCAGCCAUUUUGCCACCAUGGGAAACCUGGGACAUCUGAACUGACUCCAUGAAGCCUGAAGAGAAAGCUAAUAAGAAGGCAGAGAGAAGAGGAAGAGUCUUGGUCUUUGGAAAUAUCUUUUGGAGCUGCUGGAUCAAGUAUCACUUGAAGGUAGAACUAAAUCUGCACUUUAAAUUUACAUAUCCAAUAAAAAGUUCUUUAUGUUGUAAGCCAGUUUGAGGUGGA